ACUCAAAUCCGUAAUUUUACACGAAGUCACGUUGAAAACCAAACAAACGCCGAUUUUGUCUGCUAGAGUUCUCAGAUCAUCUCCAAUGAGGUUUACUCUGUCGUCAGCUCUGCCCAUGAAAUCUGUGAUCGCCGUGAUUUUUAAGCUGGUAGGCUCAUCAGUUUUCUUGCUAGCUAGCGCGUGUAGUAAAUGCAAGUAUUGUCCACCUUGUCCUAUAUCGAAAUCAAUUACGUGAAUCUUGUCUGAAGGUUGAUCAACUACAGCUUCAAGAAUAGCUAAAUUAGCUGCCAUGAAUCCAAGCUUAAAACACGGGGACAACUCGUAGAGAUUUUGAGCAGAAAUUGCGUGCUCUUUGCUCUGCAGCUCCAACACGGGCGGUGGGUACUCCGUGAAGUU
rnacentral:lncRNA from 1 species